GUGCCAGCAGCCGCGGUAAUACGGAGGGUGCAAGCGUUGUCCGGAUUUAUUGGGUUUAAAGGGUGCGUAGGCGGAUCUUUAAGUCAGUGGUGAAAGCCUGCAGCUUAACUGUAGAAUUGCCAUUGAUACUGGAGGUCUUGAGUACACUAGAGGUAGGCGGAAUUUAUGGUGUAGCGGUGAAAUGCAUAGAUACCAUAAAGAACACCUAUAGCGUAGGCAGCUUACUGGAGUGUAACUGACGCUGAGGCACGAAAGCAUGGGUAGCGAACAGGAUUAGAUACCCGAGUAGUCC
rnacentral:rRNA from 1 species